UACGAAGGGGGCUAGCGUUGCUCGGAAUUACUGGGCGUAAAGGGCGCGUAGGCGGGUACUUAAGUCAGAGGUCAAAUCCCAGGGCUCAACCCUGGAACUGCCUUUGAUACUGGGUACCUAGAGUUCGGGAGAGGUGUGUGGAACUCCGAGUGUAGAGGUGAAAUUCGUAGAUAUUCGGAAGAACACCAGUGGCGAAGGCGGCCCGCUGGGCAGUGGCUGACGCUGAGGCGCGACAGCGUGGGGAGCAAACAGG
rnacentral:rRNA from 1 species